rnacentral:rRNA from 1 species
UACGGGGGGGGGCAAGCGUUGUUCGGAAUUACUGGGCGUAAAGGGCUCGUAGGCGGCCAACUAAGUCGGAUGUGAAAUCCCCAGGCUCAACUUGGGAACUGCAUCCGAUACUGGAUGGCUUGAAUUCGGGAGAGGGAUGCAGAAUUCCAGGUGUAGCGGUGAAAUGCGUAGAUAUCUGGAGGAAUACCGGUGGCGAAGGCGGCCAGCUGGGCCGACCCUGACACUGAGGCGCGAAGGCGUGGGGAGCAGACGGG